rnacentral:rRNA from 1 species
CCCCGGAAGGGGAGUGAAAGAGAUCCUGAAACCGUGUGCCUACAAAUAGUCAGAGCCCGUUAAUGGGUGAUGGCGUGCCUUUUGUAGAAUGAACCGGCGAGUUACGAUCCCGUGCAAGGUUAAGUUGAAGAGACGGAGCCGCAGCGAAAGCGAGUCUGAAUAGGGCGUUUAGUACGUGGUCGUAGACCCGAAACCAGGUGAUCUACCCAUGUCCAGGGUGAAGUUCAGGUAACACUGAAUGGAGGCCCGAACCCACGCACGUUGAAAAGUGCGGGGAUGAGGUGUGGGUAGCGGAGAAAUUCCAAUCGAACCUGGAGAUAGCUGGUUCUCCCCGAAAUAGCUUUAGGGCUAGCCUUAAGUGUAAGAGUCUUGGAGGUAGAGCACUGAUUGAACUAGGGGUCCUCAUCGGAUUACCGAAUUCAGUCAAACUCCGAAUGCCAAUGACUUAUCCUUAGGAGUCAGACUGCGAGUGAUAAGAUCCGUAGUCAAGAGGGAAACAGCCCAGAUCGCCAGCUAAGGUCCCAAAGUGUGUAUUAAGUGGAAAAGGAUGUGGAGUUGCUUAGACAACUAGGAUGUUGGCUUAGAAGCAGCCACCAUUUAAAGAGUGCGUAAUAGCUCACUAGUCGAGUGACUCUGCGCCGAAAAUGUACCGGGGCUAAAUACACCACCGAAGCUGCGAAUUGAUACCAAUGGUAUCAGUGGUAGGGGAGCGUUCUAAGUGCAGUGAAGUCAGACCGGAAGGACUGGUGGAGCGCUUAGAAGUGAGAAUGCCGGUAUGAGUAGCGAAAGACGGGUGAGAAUCCCGUCCACCGAAUGCCUAAGGUUUCCUGAGGAAGGCUCGUCCGCUCAGGGUUAGUCAGGACCUAAGCCGAGGCCGACAGGCGUAGGCGAUGGACAACAGGUUGAUAUUCCUGUACCACCUCUUUAUCGUUUGAGCAAUGGAGGGACGCAGAAGGAUAGAAGAAGCGUGCGAUUGGUUGUGCACGUCCAAGCAGUUAGGCUGAUAAGUAGGCAAAUCCGCUUAUCGUGAAGGCUGAACUGUGAUGGGGAAGCUCCUUAUGGAGCGAAGUCUUUGAUUCCCCGCUGCCAAGAAAAGCUUCUAGCGAGAUAAAAGGUGCCUGUACCGCAAACCGACACAGGUAGGCGAGGAGAGAAUCCUAAGGUGUGCGAGAGAACUCUGGUUAAGGAACUCGGCAAAAUGACCCCGUAACUUCGGGAGAAGGGGUGCUUUCUUAACGGAAAGCCGCAGUGAAUAGGCCCAAGCGACUGUUUAGCAAAAACACAGGUCUCUGCGAAGCCGUAAGGCGAAGUAUAGGGGCUGACACCUGCCCGGUGCUGGAAGGUUAAGGAGAGGGGUUAGCGUAAGCGAAGCUCUGAACUGAAGCCCCAGUAAACGGCGGCCGUAACUAUAACGGUCCUAAGGUAGCGAAAUUCCUUGUCGGGUAAGUUCCGACCCGCACGAAAGGUGUAACGAUUUGGGCACUGUCUCAACCAGAGACUCGGUGAAAUUAUAGUACCUGUGAAGAUGCAGGUUACCCGCGACAGGACGGAAAGACCCCGUGGAGCUUUACUGUAGCCUGAUAUUGAAUUUUGGUACAGUUUGUACAGGAUAGGCGGGAGCCAUUGAAACCGGAGCGCUAGCUUCGGUGGAGGCGCUGGUGGGAUACCGCCCUGACUGUAUUGAAAUUCUAACCUACGGGUCUUAUCGACCCGGGAGACAGUGUCAGGUGGGCAGUUUGACUGGGGCGGUCGCCUCCUAAAGUGUAACGGAGGCGCCCAAAGGUUCCCUCAGAAUGGUUGGAAAUCAUUCGUAGAGUGCAAAGGCAUAAGGGAGCUUGACUGCGAGACCUACAAGUCGAGCAGGGACGAAAGUCGGGCUUAGUGAUCCGGUGGUUCCGCAUGGAAGGGCCAUCGCUCAACGGAUAAAAGCUACCCCGGGGAUAACAGGCUUAUCUCCCCCAAGAGUCCACAUCGACGGGGAGGUUUGGCACCUCGAUGUCGGCUCAUCGCAUCCUGGGGCUGUAGUCGGUCCCAAGGGUUGGGCUGUUCGCCCAUUAAAGCGGUACGCGAGCUGGGUUCAGAACGUCGUGAGACAGUUCGGUCCCUAUCCGUCGUGGGCGUAGGAAAUUUGAGAGGAGCUGUCCUUAGUACGAGAGGACCGGGAUGGACGCACCGCUGGUGUACCAGUUGUUCUGCCAAGGGCAUAGCUGGGUAGCUAUGUGCGGAAGGGAUAAGUGCUGAAAGCAUCUAAGCAUGAAGCCCCCCUCAAGAUGAGAUUUCCCAUAGCGUAAGCUAGUAAGAUCCCUGAAAGAUGAUCAGGUUGAUAGGUUCGAGGUGGAAGCAUGGUGACAUGUGGAGCUGACGAAUACUAAUAGAUCGAGGACUUAACCAU